UAACCACUGUGGCACUCAGGGCCUCAUCAAUUGAGCGUAGAGUUGGAAUGGCCAGUUUUCAUCAAGGAGAGAGAUGCGGGAUAGGGAAUGAGCUCAUGAAUUCAGCCUGGGACACAAGAUUGAAAAGGACAGCUAAGAACAUUCCUGAGCAAGAACUGUGCUGUGACAUGGAGAUGGAAGGGUUUACGAGAGAGGGUUCUCAUCUCCCCAUUCUAGGUAACAGUCGGGAUGGUGAGAGCCAGCAGGGACCUUUGAGCCCAUCAGCCUUAACCCAGGAGAAACCAGGAGCUGAGGAAGCCAUUCGUGAAUAUCCUGUAUUUGUGGAGCAUUUGCGGGUGAGCCCAGACCUUCCGCAGCGUCAGAGAGUUCCGGCAACAAAUGGUUUCCAUGCACGUGGCUCAGAUGUUAAAAGUCUGGAUUGUGACCCAGCUUUGCAUAAUUGUCGGAAAAGUUAUAUAGCUAAGAGAUCGGGUGACAGUGACACCUGUGGGAAGGCCUUCAGCCAUUCUGUGGAAGUUAUUCAAUUUGGAAGAACUCAAACUAGAGAGAAACCCUAUAAAUACCCUGAAAGUGUUAAGUCUUUCAACCAUCUUACCCCUCUUGGUGAACAAAAAAUGAUGAAAAGAGGGAAGAAACUGUAUGAAGGUAAGCACUUUGGGGACAUCUUCACCUUGAGUUCAUCUCUUAAUGAAAACAGGAGGAGCAGCCCUGGAGAGAAAUUGUAUAAAUGUACUGAAUGUGGCAAGUGCUUCAAACGGAACUCUUCUCUUGUUUUGCAUCACCGAACUCAUACUGGAGAGAAACCUUAUACCUGUAAUGAGUGUGGAAAAUCCUUCUCCAAGAACUAUAACCUGAUUGUGCAUCAAAGAAUCCAUACAGGAGAGAAGCCCUAUAAAUGCAGUAAAUGCGGGAAAGCCUUCAGCGAUGGGUCGGCUCUGACGCAACACCAGAGGAUUCACACGGGGGAGAAACCUUACGAAUGUCUAGAAUGUGGGAAAACCUUCAACCGAAAUUCGUCCCUGAUUCUGCAUCAAAGAACUCACACAGGGGAAAAACCAUAUAGAUGUAAUGAGUGUGGGAAGCCUUUCACGGACAUCUCCCACCUCACUGUGCAUCUCAGAAUCCACACUGGGGAGAAGCCCUAUGAGUGUAGCAAAUGUGGAAAGGCCUUCCGAGAUGGCUCGUACCUCACCCAGCACGAGAGGACUCACACUGGAGAGAAGCCCUUUGAAUGUGUGGAGUGCGGGAAAUCCUUCAACCGUAACUCUCACCUCAUCGUGCAUCAGAAGAUCCAUUCUGGGGAGAAACCCUACGCGUGUAAAGAAUGUGGGAAAACGUUCAUUGAGAGUGCCUACCUCAUCAGGCACCAGAGGAUCCACACCGGUGAGAAGCCCUACGGCUGUGACCAGUGUCAGAAACUUUUCAGGAACAUAGCUGGCCUCAUCCGUCACCAGAGGACUCAUACUGGUGAGAAGCCCUACGAGUGCAAUCAGUGUGGCAAAGCUUUCAGGGACAGCUCCUGUCUGACAAAGCACCAGAGGAUUCACACUAAGGAGACCCCAUACCAGUGUCCGGAAUGUGGGAAGUCCUUCAAGCAGAACUCUCACCUGGCUGUACAUCAGAGACUCCACAGCAGGGAGGGUCCCAGCCAUUGUCCUCAGUGUGGGAAAACAUUCAGAAGGACCUCUUCCCUCAUCCGACACCAAAGGUCACACCCCGGAGAACAGCCUGUGGACGUUUAAUGAACGUGGGCCACACUCAUCUCCCGACUGGCUCUCGGAAACCUAGGUGAAGGAGAAGUGUCUUCUGGGUGGCUUCUCCCUGUCAGUGGAAGAGACAGCUUUGGGCUAUCCAGUGAAUUGAGGAAUGUGAGACAUUUCUUAGCCAUACUGUUAAGUCUGUACAUUAGGGAACUCUUGGAGAGGAUACAGGAUGGUAAUAAAUGUGGCAAAGGCUUCAGGGGUGAUUCAGCCUGUACCAAACAUGGUAGUGCAUACACUGGAAUAAAGCCUUUGAAAAUCAGGUAGAUACUUCCCUGGAGGACCCACCUACCCAUAUGUCAGAGCCCUUAAGCUGGAAAGAGCCUGUGUAAUUGGAUGAGGAAUCCUUUAGCAGAGAGUGUCUGCCUUACUGUAUGUAAGCAAACUCUUACUGGAUUCCAGCGAGGGAAGCUUCCGGCAGGAGCCCUGACUGUCUUGCCUGUGUCAGCAAAGGCGUGCUUGUGCUGGUGAGAAAGCCCACCCAGUGUUCCACCCACAGCAACCACAGAAUCACAGAGGAUUGCUGUUUGAACAUAUUUUCUGCUAGAUGCCGAGGGCUUGUGUCAGCGGGGCAGCUGGGUGAGGAAGUCGCUUGUGAGUGAACAAUGAUGUUAUCCCUCUUAAGUGGAGACUGAAGCAGGUUCCUCCAGGAAGGAAAAGGCUGCUGCUGAGAAAUGUGAUGUGUUGCUUUAGUCGUUGAGACAAGCAGAAAAACACCAGCCUGCUCCUGACUGAGACUGCAGGGCCACUGAUGAUCUGCACCUCACCUUCAUACAAGUGAGGAAAAGCAUCCCUGUCCCGGGACAACGCAAGAGGAAAACUCUCCCCUCGCAGCAGUGUUCACUUUGGAGGCAGUACUGCUGGGUGCCGGGCGAGUCUACACCAGUGCUAACAGCUGAGGCUGAGAAAGCUGGGGCAGCCCCUGACAAGCCUUGCCUGACCGGUGACCAGUACAACUGGUUUUAACCAUUCCUCUGGUGGCCAGUACGGCUGGUUUCAACCAUUCCCUUCCAGACCCAGGCCCUCCUCUGUUCUCCCACAGGCUAGGUUGCAGAACUUCAUUAACAGCAGUCAGGAGGCUUUGAUCCCUGGUCAGGGAACUAAGAUCCCAUAUACCGUGUGGUGGGGUGGCCAAAAAAUAAAAAAACAAGCAAACAUAGCGGUUAGGAACCCUCGUUGGUAGGCUGAAUAAUGUCCUCCCACAUAUGUCUACAUCCUAAUCCGUGGAAGGAACGAUUCAGUCAAAGCUUUUCCUGGAUUACCUGGGUGGGCCCAGUGUCAAGUCAUCGCAGGGGUCUCAUAAGAGGAAGGCAGGAGGAUCCGAGUCAGAAGAGGGGAUGUGACAAUGGAGCCGCUUCUAGCAGCCGUAAAAGGCAGGCACACUGGUGUCCUCCCUGGAGCCUCCAGAAGGAACCAGGCCUGGUGACACCUUGAUUUUAGCCCCACGUGACUCAUUUCUGAUUUCUGGUCUCCAGGGUAAACUGUGCAGCAGUAACAAAUGACAGCAAGCAUCUCAACACCAAGGCUCCGUGUCUACUGCAGCUCAGCUGCUGCUCUCCUCCAUGCUGCCAUCACUCUGGGGCCAGCGCUCUCGGAGCUGCCUCUCUGCCUGGGGCAUUGCUGGCCUCACCACAGAGUAAGAGAAGACAGGUGGACCCAUGCAGGGGCUCUGAAAGCUCACCUCUCACCGCCAAGGCAAGUCCGUGACCCAGCCUGACGGCACUGGCACAGGAACCUGUAAUCUGCCAGAGACAGCAAAUAUUCUCAACCAUCAUACCGGUUUCCUCUGUUUCUUUGUUUUUUUUCUGGCCUGGUCAUAAUGUUUUAGUUGAUAGCACCUGUCACUUCCCUGUCCCGUCUUCUCCCAGCCCCCCCUUGGUCAUUGUUUGUGAUUCAGUGGCCUCCCUGCCCUUCCUCAAACAAGCUAGGGCCUCUGCAAUCCCUGUUCUCUCCGUGGGGAACGUCUUCCCCCAAGAGCUGGGCUCACCUCACCUCCUGCAGUCCAUCACCCACACAUCACCUUCUCAGUGAGGCCUUCCCCUACUACCUGCUCCACAGUCACACUCUGUCCUCUUUCCCUGCACUGCGUUGUCUCCACAGCGUCAACCGCCAUCCAACGGAUGCGUGAUCCGUGAUGCAUUGUGCUUGUUUACCUUCCCUGCUGGACUGUAAACACCUUGGCCUGUUUUCUGCUUUAUCCCCAGCUGCUAGAAUACCACAGCAAGUACUCAAUAAAUGUUUGUUGAGCUAAAAGAGUUAGAUGGUGGUAAACCGCCGUGA